rnacentral:rRNA from 1 species
CCUACGGGGGGCAGCAGUGAGGAAUAUUGGUCAAUGGACGAGAGUCUGAACCAGCCAAGUAGCGUGAAAGAUGACUGCCCUAUGGGUUGUAAACUUCUUUUAUAUGGGAAUAAAAUGUUCCACGUGUGGGCUUUUGUAUGUACCUUAUGAAUAAGGAUCGGCUAACUCCGUGCCAGCAGCCGCGGUAAUACGGAGGAUCCGAGCGUUAUCCGGAUUUAUUGGGUUUAAAGGGAGCGUAGGUGGAUUGUUAAGUCAGUUGUGAAAGUUUGCGGCUCAACCGUAAAAUUGCAGUUGAAACUGGCAGUCUUGAGUACAGUAGAGGUGGGCGGAAUUCGUGGUGUAGCGGUGAAAUGCUUAGAUAUCACGAAGAACCCCGAUUGCGAAGGCAGCUUACUGGACUGCAACUGACACUGAGGCUCGAAAGUGUGGGUAUCAAACAGGAUUAGAUACCCGAGUAGUC